GACGAACGCUGGCGGCGUGCUUAACACAUGCAAGUCGAACGGAGUGGCGAACGGGUGAGUAUUACGUGAGUAACCUGCCCUCAACUGUGGGAUAAGCCUGGGAAACUGGGUCUAAUACUGCAUAGUUGGGGAUGGGCUCGCGGCCUAUCAGCUUGUUGGUGGGGUGAUGGCCUACCAAGGCGGUGACGGGUAGCCGGCCUGAGAGGGUGGUCGGCCACAUGAGGGCUGGGAUACGGCCCAGAGUCGUAAGGGGGGAAGCAGUGGGGGAUAGUGCACAAUGGGCGAAAGCCUGAUGCAGCGACGCGGCAUGAGGGAUGAAGGCUUUCGGGUUGUAAACCUAUUUCGGUACAGAACGGGUAUGUGCAGAAGAAGCGCCGGCUAACUACGUGCCAGCCGCCGCGGUAAUAC
rnacentral:rRNA from 1 species